ACAUUAAUUCCUAAUGGGCUCUUUCUUUUUUACAAAGGUCAGAUUAUUGGACGGAACAGAAUCCAGUCUCGUGCAAUGUAUUACCUGCCUUGGUGCGCGUAGAGUAACCGCGUAGCUGUUUCCUUGCUGUGGGGUUAACACCUCCCAAAAAGCAGCCGCCUUUGAUGAACACGAUUGCAAGAUCUAGACUUCGCACCUUUUCCAAAGAGAAAUCCUGUGCUGUUUACUACUUUCUUCCGUGUUUUGCAUUAGGAAACAAAUGAGCUUUCCACUGAUCCGUGGGACAUUCACAAGCCACCUCCAAAUUCGGUAUACAACUUUGUAGUGCUUCCUGGUCUUUCAGGAGGUUUGCUGCCUGUAGUCCAACCGAAGCAAAGGCCAGUACACAAGUUAGAAAAGAAAGAAAAGGGACAACCGCUCUCAACUCUGCUCGGGCUCCUCUUCGAGGAGCCGGGGGUGGCAGACCCUGAGAGCAGUCAGAGCCACCACCUCCAGACUGACCCUGCCCUUCCAAGCUGAUGGAAACCAACCCCAAAAUCCCACCUGGGAUACGUGCUAGCAGUUGUGCCAGCACUGCCUUUGAUGAAGCUGUCGGUCUCCCUGCAAUAAGAAAGCUGUUAACCGGCACGGGGCAGCCACGAGCUCGGGAGACAGCUUUCCCCGGGGUUGCAGCUGCGCGGUGCAAUGCGCUCCCACGAGACGCACGGAUGGCCGUGAACCUCCUUACUCUCGGGGCUAAAAGCAAAACGCCUUCCUUUGAUUUAGUACUUGCCUGAGACUCUCUCCUAUGCAACAAACAAGUUAUUUAUUCUAGCAGUUGGAAGGGGAGAGAGGAUUUGUUGUUUGUUUAAGUAUUUUGGUUGUACUUUGUUAUUAUGGUCGUGUGGGUUUCAUGCUUACCUAAACAACCAAAAAUAUUCCCAAAUACCCUGGUUAACCAAGUAAUUUAGUUAACACUUCAAUGAAGUUUAAUAUAACUUACCCUUUUUGAGCAAAUGUCUUUUUCUACAAAUUAAAUGACCCAGUUGAGGUCCUCAGCUGAUAGGAAAGAGAACGCAGGGCCUAAAUCUCAGGACGGCCUAAAUCUCAGGACUGCCCGAACCAUGUCAUCCACAUGGAAGCGUGGAGAGCGAGGCUGCCGGGUUAAUUAUCCAUCGCCUCCCUGCUGCCUGCCGUGUCGGUGCCCACUGGGGACUUCGCCCUGGGUGGAGGUUAGGGCACGCACCCAGACGUGGAGGGCUCCAGCCUUACGUGGGGAGAGGGGAGAGCAGAUGUAAGGGCAGAGUUUGACUUUGUUGUCAGGAGUAAGAAUGAUGCAACCGCUGAAAAAUGUUGAAGCAAAAACCCCCUGUCUUUAAAAGUAAUUGCUUCCUCCCUUUGUAAACUGUCUAGUCUUUAAGCACUACGAAUCAUUGUAAUUAAUCCUUAAUUCAAGUUGCUGUAUCUAUGUUACAUUGUUAUGUUUACUUAGAUGUAAAAUGCAUUAUUCUUUACAAGAUAAUGGCAUCAGUCCACACAGUCUCAGUGACAGGCACAGGCAGCUCUAAACUAAAACAUUAGGCGGAGUGUUAAAAAGCUAGUUAGGUGCCAAUAUGUUAAUUAAUUAAUCACAGGCAUGUUUCAAAGCAUUCUUCAUACCUCAGGUGGGGCUCCUGGGCUAUUAUGAAAUGCCAAACUUCCCUUGGGGCUUUGAGGAUUGCGCUUCUAAAUUCCUCAGAAGUUCAGGGAAGUAAAAGGGUAUGUUUUUGGUGUGAGUCACUGAAGUGAGGUUGGAGAUAAAGAUUUCUUAUUUUGUUUUAUAUUGGGAGAGGAGGGCAGUAAUCAGCCAGCAAGCAAGUGUUUCAGGAAGGAACUAGGUGGAGGGCAAAGAUGUAUUUUUCUAGCCCCAUGAGCCUAUUUUUCUAAAUGCAUUUAAAUUUAAAUUUUUUAGCUUAAUUUUUCUGAACUUACUUCAUUUUAAGUCUCUGAUAUAUAUCAGCCAGCCUUCUCGCAAGUUCUGGGGAGAAACCAAUGGUUACCCUUUGUGCCAACACCUUGUGCAGUAAAGGGUAAGUGAAUAUAAGCAACUUCUACUGUUCAGUUCCAAGAGCUUGAAAAAAUGCAUUUUCUCCCCUGUUUUUGCAAACAAAACAUUCUUGUUUUCUCUCAGCUUUCUGUACCUAUGAGGCACCUGCAAGGCUGUAUCUGUAGAUCCCCCCCAGCACCUUUUUUUUUUUGUAGUAAAAGAGGAGAUGCCUAUCAAUAACUUAAUUCCAUUUUGGUGGAGGUCUGAGGUGGGCAGGAAAUAUCAUGAAACUUGGGGGGGGGGGGGGGGGAGAGAAGGAAAAAAGAAAGUAGACUUGAUGAUUAUAGGGAAUUCCUAUUAUUUUGUAAGCCACGCAGCUCUAGAAUGGGUAUUUGUUGGAGAAGUGUAACCCACCAAGGGAAGCUCCUGAGCUCUGGAGCUGUCUGGUCAGCCCCGAGCCAUGAGUGCAAUGCACAGCGUGACACCUGAAAGGCAUCCUUGGUGAGACCAACACCUGGAAAGGACCAUGCCAACCAGAGACUGGAGCGUGCCAGAGACCCGAAAAGAGCUCUCGGCAGGGCUGAGCUGAGAAAAGGUGUCUGGUGAUGCCUGCGUGCAGAUAGCGAUCCGCGCCGUCACCCACUGUCUUAUCCCAGCCUCUCACGCCAGAGGAAAAAAGUUAGCCAGUUGUGGGCCACCUGAUCUGCCUAAAACUUUCACUUGAACUGGCAGGAAGAGUAAGUGUAAUGGAAUUUUUUAAAGGGUUGGGCAACUCUGUUUAUAUCUGACUCACAUUGCAUGUAGAUUCAUGAAAUGUAAAGUGAUUCCUGGAUUAGAUACAGAAGAGAAGUGCCUCACAUGUCAGGACAAAGCUAGUACUAUGUGGCAUGUUAGCACUGAGGGAAGGUCACUCAGUUUCGAAUUUUUUCUAAUUACCGUUCCCACUCGGUAUCUCAUGCUUUACCUGCGGCAAAGUUGUGUAACGCCCUGGGAACGCAUUUAUGCUUUCCCAGCGAAGGUGCAGAGGAGAGACGGUGUUCAGAGAACCCCUCCUAAGUCCUGCACAGCUCAGCCUGGAAUAUGUUCAGGCAGGACUUUGGGAGUGCAUCCAGUACUGCACAGAUAUCACUGAUGAAGCGAAAAGAUAUCCAAAUAGUUGGUCUCUUUACUCUGAUUCAAAGAGUUCUCAGUCCACCGGAGAAAGGAGAAAAGGAGGAAAAGUUUUUCCUCCUUUGGAAGCUUCACAAAAGCUCCUUAGAAUGAGGUCUUUGAGACCAACUGUGCAGUUAAAGUGCUUUGUGAAAGGUGCCUUGUUUCUGAAGAAAAAAAACAAAACCCUUCAACUGAACUUCAAAUAUUUUGGUUGAAUUCUUCUAAGAUUUCAGUUGAUGGUUUAAAAAUAUAUCAUCAGGAAAGGGGGAGAAAUUCAGACGAAUGUUGGUGUGAAACAAGAACAACCUUUCACCUGGAUUUGUUCUGCAAUAAUCAUGGGAAUACGGGCAUAAACUCAAACAACUAUGGAAAGGGAGUGGCUUACUCAAAGCCUUAUAAAUAAAGUACAAAGGUAUCGCAAUGGGAUCUUUAAACUUGGUAGAGCAUUUGGUAACCAGGAAAGAUUUGGCAAUGAUCUCUUAUUUACAUUCUACUGGAUUCAGCUGUUUUUAGCUAUUGGUUGGUUGCUUUCAGCUGAAAUGGCUAAAUGCAAGCCCACAAGACAACUCUUUUUUUAUCGAUUUUAAAAUUGAUGGGUAUUACUGUGUAUUCUUCUUGAGUGUGGUAGGAGGGUAUCCUGGAUUAAAAUGUUAAACAAAUAGUCUAAUAAAGACAUUGACUUUU